rnacentral:misc_RNA from 1 species
GAUGAAGAACGCAGCGAAAUGCGAUAAUUAAUGUGAAUUGCAGAAUUCCGUGAAUCAUCGAAUCUUUGAACGCACAUUGCGCCCGCCAGUAUUCUGGCGGGCAUGCCUGUCUGAGCGUCAUUUCAACCCUCAUGCCCCUAGGGCGUGGUGUUGGGGAUCGGCCAAAGCCCGCGAGGGACGGCCGGCCCCUAAAUCUAGUGGCGGACCCGUCGUGGCCUCCUCUGCGAAGUAGUGAUAUUCCGCAUCGGAGAGCGACGAGCCCCUGCCGUUAAACCCCCAACUUUCCAAGGUUGACCUCAGAUCAGGUAGGAAUACCCGCUGAACUUAAGCAUAUCAAUAAGCGGAGGA